rnacentral:tRNA from 1 species
UCUCUGGUGGUCUGGUGGUUAAGACUUUGCACUUCCAAUGCAGAGGGUAAGGGUUCAAUCCCUGGUUGGGGAA